AAAUGUUAAAAUCCCACAGCUUUUAUCCAAAAAAUGUGAAAAUACCAAGGUUUCUUAUCCAGAAAAUAUUAAAAUCCCAAGGUUUUAAUCAAAAAAAUGUGGAAAUCCCAAGGUUUUAACCAAAAAAAUGUGAAAAUUCCAAGGUUUUUAUCCAGAAAAAGUGAAAAUCCCAAGGGUUUUACCCAGAAAAUGUUAAAAUACCAAAAUUUUUACCCAGAAAAAUCCGAAAUCCCACGGUUUUUAACCGGAACAUUUGCAAAUCC